GAUGAACGCUGGCGGCGUGCUUAACACAUGCAAGUCGAACGGAACUACUCCAAUGAGAGUCUUCGGAAAGGAUUUGGUUUAGUUUAGUGGCGGACGGGUGAGUAACGCGUGGGUAACCUGCCCUAUACAGGGGGAUAACAGUUGGAAACGACUGUUAAUACCGCAUAAGCGCACAGGAGCGCAUGCUCCGGUGUGACAAACUCCGGUGGUAUAGGAUGGACCCGCGUCUGAUUAGCUGGUUGGCGGGGUAACGGCCCACCAAGGCGACGAUCAGUAGCCGGCCUGAGAGGGUGAACGGCCACAGUGGGACUGAGACACGGCCCAAACUCCUACGGGAGGCAGCAGUGGGGAAUAUUGCACAAUGGGGGAAACCCUGAUGCAGCGACGCCGCGUGAGCGAAGAAGUAUCUCGGUAUGUAAAGCUCUAUCAGCAGGGAAGAAAAUGACGGUACCUGACGAAGAAGCCCCGGCUAAGUACGUG
rnacentral:rRNA from 1 species